CCUACGGGAGGCAGCAGUGAGGAAUAUUGGUCAAUGGGCGGGAGCCUGAACCAGCCAAGCCGCGUGAGGGAAGAAGGUACAGCGUAUCGUAAACCUCUUUUGUCAGGGAACAAAGGCGGGGACUAGUCCCCGGAUGAGGGUACCUUACGAAAAAGCAUCGGCUAACUCCGUGCCAGCAGCCGCGGUAAUACGGAGGAUGCGAGCGUUAUCCGGAUUUAUUGGGUUUAAAGGGUGCGCAGGGGGCCUGUUAAGUCAGAGGUAAAAGGCCGGGGCUAAACCCCGGCGAGCCGUUGAAACUGGCGGGCUGGAGGUGGAGAGCAGUACGCGGAAUGCGCGGUGUAGCGGUGAAAUGCUUAGAUAUCGCGCAGAACCCCGAUUGCGAAGGCAGCGUACCGGCUCCAAACUGACGCUGAGGCACGAAAGCAUGGGUAUCGAACAGGAUUAGAUACCCGAGUAGUC
rnacentral:rRNA from 1 species